GGGGAAUAUUGCACAAUGGGCGAAAGCCUGAUGCAGCAACGCCGCGUGAGUGAUGAAGGCCUUCGGGUUGUAAAGCUCUGUCUUUUGGGACGAUAAUGACGGUACCAAAGGAGGAAGCCACGGCUAACUACGUGCCAGCAGCCGCGGUAAUACGUAGGUGGCAAGCGUUGUCCGGAAUUACUGGGCGUAAAGAAUGCGUAGGUGGAUAUGCAAGUCAGAUGUGAAAUACCCGGGCUCAACUUGGGUGCUGCAUUUGAAACUAUAUAUCUAGAGUGCAGGAGAGGAAAGCGGAAUUCCUAGUGUAGCGGUGAAAUGCGUAGAGAUUAGGAAGAACACCAGUGGCGAAGGCGGCUUUCUGGACUGUAACUGACACUGAGGCAUGAAAGCGUGGGGAGCAAAC
rnacentral:rRNA from 1 species